GUCCCUGUAGCUCAGUUGGAUAGAGCAACUGCCUUCUAAGCAGUGGGCCGGGUGUUCGAAUCGCCCCAGGGACGCCA
rnacentral:tRNA from 1 species